ACUCCCAUUUACACCUUUCUUUUCACACACAUAAGAGUUCUUGGACAUUUCUUGAAAAUCCAAGCAAUUUUAGGAGCAUUUCAAAGAGGAUUCAUCAACAAGAAGCUCUUUUUUUGAUCCUAGAACGAGUAUUAGAAGGACUCAGUGUUCUACCUACAAACUAACAACUCUUCACGGAUUAACAAGUGGAAGCUUGCAAAACCGGUGAUAGACGAGAUAAUGUUAUGAGAAGAAACGCAAUUUAGGUGGACUUAGAAACACACCUAGAUUAAAUUGUUAUUUUGAUGUAUUGUUUGAAACAAUGUUGUCUUUUAUUUGGAUCUUUGUAAUGACAUUUUUAGUCUUGACAUAAAAUUCGAGUUUAAAUUA